rnacentral:rRNA from 1 species
GCAAAUGGGGGGUAGGUGGCGGGGGGAAGAGGUAGGGCGAGAGGUGUGUCCUGGUUGUAUGGGGGGAAAGUGCGCGGAGGGGGCUUGUUACGUCUGGUGUGAAAUCCUAGGGAGUAAGCCUGGGCCUGCAGUGGAUACGGGCAGACUAGAGGUAGGUAGGGGAGAAUGGAAUUCCCGGUGUAGCGGUGAAAUGCGCAGAUAUCGGGAGGAACACCGGUGGCGAAGGCGGGUCUCUGGGCCUUACCUGACACUGAGGAGCGAAAGCGUGGGGAGCGAACAGGAUUAGAUACCCCGGUAGUC